GACGAACGCUGGCGGCGUGCUUAACACAUGCAAGUCGAACGGAAAGGCCCUGCUUUUGUGGGGUGCUCGAGUGGCGAACGGGUGAGUAACACGUGAGUAACCUGCCCUUGACUUUGGGAUAACUUCAGGAAACUGGGGCUAAUACCGGAUAGGAGCUCCUGCUGCAUGGUGGGGGUUGGAAAGUUUCGGCGGUUGGGGAUGGACUCGCGGCUUAUCAGCUUGUUGGUGGGGUAGUGGCUUACCAAGGCUUUGACGGGUAGCCGGCCUGAGAGGGUGACCGGCAAAAUUGGGAUGGAGAUACGGCCCAGACUCCUCGGGGGGGCAGCAGGGGGGAAUUUUGCACAGGGGGGGGAGCCUGGAUGCAGCACCGCCGCGUGGGGGAGGAGGGCCUUGGGUUUGAAAACCGCUUUCGCCUGUGACGAAGCGGGAGUGACGGAAAUGGGUAAAGAAGCCCCGGCAAACUACGUC
rnacentral:rRNA from 1 species